rnacentral:rRNA from 1 species
UACGGAGGGUGCAAGCGUUAUCCGGAUUCACUGGGUUUAAAGGGUGCGUAGGUGGGUCUGUAAGUCAGUGGUGAAAUCUCCGUGCUUAACAUGGAAACUGCCAUUGAUCAUAGAUGCUUGAAUUUUCUGGAGGUAAGCGGAAUAUGUCAUGUAGCGGUGAAAUGCUUAGAUAUGACAUAGAACACCAAUUGCGAAGGCAGCUUACUACGGGAACAUUGACACUGAGGCACGAAAGCGUGGGGAUCAAACAGG